rnacentral:rRNA from 1 species
UGAAUUCAUGAUAUCUCACGAAGGCAUGGCCUUGUGCCGCGCGUCCAUCAUCUGCCUAUCACUUCGAUGUAGAUAGAGCUACCAUGUGUACGGUGACGAAGAUUAGGUUCGAUUCCGAAGAGGGAGCCUUGAGAAACCGCCUACAACAUCCAAGGAAAGCCAGGCAGGCCGCGAAAAUUACCCCAUUCCCUGAUACGGGGAGGUAGUGCCAUUAAAUACCAAUCGCGGGCUAUUCUCGUGCAGUAAGAAGAAUGACUACAAUAUUAUUCCCUCGACGAGGCUCCAUAGGAGAACUAGUGUGGCAGCAGCAGCCGCGGUAACUCCAGCUACAAUAGAGUAUAUAUAAGUUGCAGCAGUUAAAAAGGUAGUAGUUGGUUUUCGGGUGGCUUCUAGCGGUCCUCUUAUGGGGAGUGCUCCUAUGGCCUAUCUUUCUGUCGGGGCCGGGCUUUUGGGUUUCCCUUUCCGGGGUUCGGAGUCAGCGAGGUUACUUUGAGUAAACAAGAGUGUUCAAAGCAAGCUUACGCCCUGAAUUCUUUAGCAUGGAAUAACACGAUAGGACUCUGGCCUAUCUUGUUGGUCUGUAGGACCGGAGUAAUGAUUAAGAGGGACAGUCGGGGGCAUUCGUAUUUCAUUGUCAGAGGUGAAAUUCUUGGAUUUAUGAAAGACGAACAUCUGCGAAAGCAUUUGCCAAGGAUGUUUUCAUUAAUCAAGAACGAAAGUUGGGGGCUCGAAGACGAUUAGAUACCGUCGUAGUCUCAACCAUAAACGAUGCCGACUAGGGAUUGGCGGAAUUCCUUUUAAUGACUUCGCCAGCACCUUAUGAGAAAUCAAAGUUUUUGGGUCCGGGGGGAGUAGUCCCCG